CACAUUUAUUUAACCAGGUAGGCCAGUUGAGAACACAUUUAUUUAACCAGGUAGGCCAGUUGAGAACACCUUUAUUUAACCAGGUAGGCCAGUUGAGAACACCUUUAUUUAACCAGGUAGGCCAGUUGAGAACACCUUUAUUUAACCAGGUAGGCCAGUUGAGAACAAGUUCUCAUUUACAACUGCGACCUGGCCAAGAUAAAGCAAAGCAGUGCGACAAAAACAACAACACAGAGUUACACAUGGGAUAAACAAACAUACACUCAAUAAUACAAUAGAAAAAGUAUAUUUAUUUAUUUUACAGACACAUCUGGUUUAGAAUAAUAUAAAUGGUCCACGUUAUGACAAAACAGAAAAUAAUUAAGAAAUUCUGAAAAUAUUUUAUGCAUAUUUUAAAUUGUUCACCUGGUUAAUGUUACACAAAUAUUUAUUUGAGGUGGAACAUUGUGUUUGAAUUAACCCCUUGUAAAAAUCUCCCUCUCUCCUUUAAUGUCAUGCUAAUGUCUUCCCCCUUUUCUCACAGUGGGUCUCAUUAGGUUAGGAUUAACACAGGAUUAUAUUACUGUAGCCAUGGGCUACUUACUCUAGUUACCCCUCUAUCCCACUACACCAAUAUCUCCAGGACCUUCUCCGUGAUUUCAUUUUGAACGCCUCAGAUGACUUUAAACAGGCAAGGGUAUCUGAGCCCUGGCAGCUAAUCAAAGAAAAAUAACUGGAGGAUGGCUUUGAUAACAGAGCACUUUUCACACGCACCCAGCGUAAGCCAUGUUUAUGUACUGUCCUCUGCUGCAGGAAAUUAAAGCUGUCGUCUACACUGUGUUUAGAGUAAUUGGUCAUUUUGUGUUAUUCACAUAUUGUCAGGCUUCUACAGUUUCGCUCUACCUGUUAUUGUAGAAAAUAAUUACUUUCGAGUUCAGAUGAUUUGAGGGAUGGCAGAUAUUAUAUCCUUCUCUCUCUCUCUCUCUCUCUCUCUCUCUCUCUCUCUCUCUCUCUCUCUCUCUCUCUCUCUCUCUCUCUCUCUCUCUCUCUCUCUCUCCAGACUUGGCCGACGAGUGAACGUCAAGGUGCGGAACAGGGUGUGUGUCUCACUGGCAUACACACCAUGUCAAACUGAAUUAAAGACGUCUUACUUAACACACAGGCCAUUCGAUCCGAGGGCUGACAAUGAUGCCAUCAAAUCCACAGUAUGUGGCACCACUAUACCAAACCUCAAGACUUUUCUUGUUGUAGGUGUUGUUAUUGUUGCCUCUCUGGUUGUCAUCUUAUUGUUUGGGUGAUAUGAGGAAAUCUAAAGAAAGAUGAGGAUGAGGAAAACGUCUCCGCAAUAUACACAAAAUGUCUGUGAUUGGUUCCAUCUCUGUAUCUGUCACCAUAUUCCUACAGCAAAAUCAAAACAUUUUGCUGGUUGAAUUCAAAAACAUGGUGCUGAGUGCAGCAAAAUAAAUUGCCAUCUUUGGUUUAUUUGUGUGCAUUGUAAACAUACCUAACA
ensembl:lncRNA